CUACUGAAUCUAUUCCUGCGUCUGGAAAAGUCCUUAACUUCUGUGAACCACCCAUUCAGCAGUUCCAGCCAGGCACUGGAUGGAUGAGCCCUGGCACAGGGAGUACUGGAUGGCAUCAGGCAGCCAGGGAGGCUCUGGCAGUGCAAUUCUUGUGCAAGGGUCAAGGUUUCAGAGUCACAGACAAUGCUGAGCAGCUGUGUGUGUAACAGUUGCAGAUCAAAAGUACAAUUAGUCUAAUGUGGGCACCAAAACAGAGAAAAGGAUGAUCAGGAAAAUGAAAGAGGAGAAUGCAAGCAAGCCAUUUGGUGACAGAAGACAAUCAUUAGCAUUGGCCAAUACCACAGGCAAAAAGAGGCCAAUGCCAUUUGGAAAGUAAUGACAUGGCCUCAGGAGAGUUUUCCUCACCAGUGGCCGGAGCUCCCCAGGCAGGAACACGUGUGGACAUUGCUGACGGCGCAUUGGGAGCACCGUGAGGGCCCAGC